GACUCUGACAAUGAGUAACCUUUUUAAAACUCUAGUUCUACAGGAGGAUGGGAGAGUGAAAGACCCUCAGAUUGAGGAGACUCUCGCUCCAAUCCUGAGGACACCCACCACCCCACGAACACACGGGACUCAGUCUUGAUGUAAAAACAAGAGGUUUACUCGGGAUACCAGUGCAAGAGGAAGUGAGAAGAGGAAAUGGGAGGGGGAAGUAGUGGAGAAACCACUGUGUCCUGCCUCCCUGGAAUGCCGAGCUGCUGCUUGCAUUGCCCCAUUUUGCUGACGUCUGGAUACAGAGCCAGGGUGGUUAGACUUCCGGUAUGCUAAUUACAAUACGUUGCCUUGGUGCUCUUUCCGUUUCACGCAUAUGCUUCGUUCCUAUACCCAACUGGGUAGACCAAAGCUGCGCACCUUGACUCUGCCCUCCCAUAGCCCAAAAGAUGAAGGACAGGACCGUCUUAACCAGGUAUUUGGAGUACAUUACAGCCACGCACCAAGGCAAAUUUCUGCCACACUCAUCUUGUAAGCUGGUGGCAAUGUCUGAAAAACGUCCAGAAUAGCAAUUCUGAGUCUCCUUUGCCACCGCCUUCCUCUCCCACGUACAUAUUGAACCAGUCCAGGAGAUGGCUGAUAGAAACCAGAGCUUUGAGGUAAGUUUCAAAAAUGUGUGUUUUAGCAGGUCUAUGUGGCAUGUGCACUCAAGCGACUGAGGAGUGUCAAGAGUUUGAAGCCAACCCAGGGUACAUAGUUGGACACCGUUUCAACAGAGGAGAUUUUAAGAAAAGAAAUUAAAAUUGUAUUUCUUCAAAUAUUUAUUAAUUCUUUGGGAAUUUCACCGUGUAUCUUUAUCACAAUUCCCCACCUCCCCACUCCUUCCUCCAACUCCUCCCAGAUUGAAAAUGUAUACUUCAUUUAUCAACCCAUUCAUUCCCCACGAGUUCAUUGCCUAAUUCUUAUUUUCCCGUUAUUACCUAUAAAGAAAUAAAAUACCCAUUGCUCAGAGCCUA
rnacentral:sRNA from 1 species